CUGGAGGUAUCAGAAGUGCGAAUGCUGACAUAAGUAACGAUAAAGCGGGUGAAAAGCCCGCUCGCCGGAAGACCAAGGGUUCCUGUCCAACGUUAAUCGGGGCAGGGUGAGUCGACCCCUAAGGCGAGGCCGAAAGGCGUAGUCGAUGGGAAACAGGUUAAUAUUCCUGUACUUGGUGUUACUGCGAAGGGGGGACGGAGAAGGCUAUGUUGGCCGGGCGACGGUUGUCCCGGUUUAAGCGUGUAGGCUGGUUUUCCAGGCAAAUCCGGAAAAUCAAGGCUGAGGCGUGAUGACGAGGCACUACGGUGCUGAAGCAACAAAUGCCCUGCUUCCAGGAAAAGCCUCUAAGCAUCAGGUAACAUCAAAUCGUACCCCAAACCGACACAGGUGGUCAGGUAGAGAAUACCAAGGCGCUUGAGAGAACUCGGGUGAAGGAACUAGGCAAAAUGGUGCCGUAACUUCGGGAGAAGGCACGCUGAUAUGUAGGUGAAGUCCCUUGCGGAUGGAGCUGAAAUCAGUCGAAGAUACCAGCUGGCUGCAACUGUUUAUUAAAAACACAGCACUGUGCAAACACGAAAGUGGACGUAUACGGUGUGACGCCUGCCCGGUGCCGGAAGGUUAAUUGAUGGGGUUAGCGCAAGCGAAGCUCUUGAUCGAAGCCCCGGUAAACGGCGGCC
rnacentral:rRNA from 1 species